UUUACAGCCUACAUUUUGGUGCUUGCCUGUUCUGUUCACCAAGCUCAUCCGCUGUGUGGCCAGCAGUUACCCAGUGGGAUGUCAUCCUGAGUGGCCUUGGAUCAGUGGAAGGGGGGCAGUUCACAAAGGCCACUCCUGAGACCAGGCCUUUCCCACAGCCCCAGGCACCCCACCCUGCAGAGAGUGAGGUCUCAUUCCUACUCCGAGGUCCCGAGCCGCCAGUCUCAACCCAGCUCUCACUAGUGCUGUGUGUGCCUUGCUGUAGGCCUACUCCCUGGUUGUGAGGAACUGCUGGUCACAAAGCAUUUCUCAGAACUGAUGUCAGUGUUUGCUGUUGCAGGCAGGACUUCCACCAGUGGGCGAUCUAUGAGCACUUUCUCCCUGAGUCCUCUGCUUCAGGAGGCUGUGACGGAGACCUGGAGGCUGCGUGUACCAUUCUUGUCAACGCUCUGAUGGAUUUCCACCAAAGCUCAAGGAGUUAUGACCGCUCAGAGAAUUCCGAUUUGGUCUUUGGUGGCCGCACAGGAAAUGAGAAUAUUAUUUCCAGAUUGCAGGUGAGUUUGAGGAUGCCACAACUCAGUGCGUUCACUUCAUUUAAGCUGUGUCCUAUUAAGAUGUUUAUUAUAGUCUGGGCGUGGUGGCUCAUGCUUGUAAUCCCAGUACUUUGGGAGGCCGAGGCUGGUGGAUCACCUGAGAUCUAUACAGGUAGACAGCAUGUACCCUGUGUGUUCACUGUCAGUCAACAGGCGUUUGCUGGUGCUGGCCACCCAUGUGUCUUCUGUGCCAGGCCCGUCUUCCCCUCCCCCAGCACUGGGGCCUCCUAACUCCUUAGCCAGAUGCUUUCCCUAGACCCACCUGGCUCCUCCUCAGUGAGACCAUCUGGUUAUUCCUCUUAAUAAUAAUAAUAAUAGUAAUUAUUAUUAUUAUUAUUGGGACAGGGUCUUGCUGUGUCACCCGGGCUAGAGUACAGUGGUGCGCUCAUAGCUCACUGCAGCCUUGACUUCCUGGGCUCAAGCAGUCCUCACAGUGUGCACCUGAGUGCACCACCACACCCAGCUGAUUUUUUGUAGAGAUGGAGUUUUGCCAUGUUGCCCAGGCUUGUCUCGAACUCCUGGGCCCAAAUGAACCACCCAUCUCGGUCUCCAAAAUAGUUGGAUUAUGGGUAUAAGCCACUGCACCUGAUCUUUUUUUUUUUUUUUUUUUUUUUUUUUUUGUGACGGAGUCUCGCUCUGUCACCCGGGCUGGAGUGCAGUGGCCGGAUCUCAGCUCACUGCAAGCUCCGCCUCCCAGGUUUACACCAUUCUCCUGCCUCAACCUCCCGAGUAGCUGGGACUACAGGCCCUCCGCCACCUCGCCCGGCUAGUUUUUUGUGUGUUUUAGUAGAGACGGGGUUUCACCGUGUUAGCCAGGAUGGUCUCGAUCUCCUGACCUCGUGAUCCGCCCGUCUCAGCCUCCCAAAGUGCUGGGAUUACAGGCUUGAGCCACCGCACCCGGCCCUGAUCUUUAUUCUUCUUUAAAAAACACAGCCGGCUGGGCACGGUGGCUUAUGCCUGUAAUCCCAGCACUUUGGGAGGCUGAGGCGGGUAGAUCACUUGAG
ensembl:lncRNA